rnacentral:rRNA from 1 species
GACGUAGGGGGCGAGCGUUGUCCGGAUUUAUUGGGCGUAAAGCGCGCGUAGGCGGCCUGUUAAGUCGGGUGUGAAAACCCGGGGCUCAACCCCGGGCCUGCAUUCGAUACUGACAGGCUAGAGGCAGGCAGGGAGAUCGGAAUUCCUGGUGUAGCGGUGAAAUGCGCAGAUAUCAGGAGGAACACCGGUGGCGAAGGCGGGUCUCUGGGCCGAUACUGACGCUGGAGGAGCGAAAGCGUGGGGAGCGAACAGG